AUUGAACGCUGGCGGAAUGCUUUACACAUGCAAGUCGAACGGUAGAGGGGGCAACCCCUUGAGAGUGGCGAACGGGUGAGUAAUAUAUCGGAACGUGCCCAGUCGUGGGGAUAACGUAGCGAAAGUUACGCUAAUACCGCAUACGAUCUAAGGAUGAAAGCGGGGGAUCGCAAGACCUCGCGCGAUUGGAGCGGCCGAUAUCAGAUUAGGUAGUUGGUGAGGUAAAGGCUCACCAAGCCAACGAUCUGUAGCUGGUCUGAGAGGACGACCAGCCACACUGGAACUGAGACACGGUCCAGACUCCUACGGGAGGCAGCAGUGGGGAAUUUUGGACAAUGGACGCAAGUCUGAUCCAGCCAUUCCGCGUGCAGGAUGAAGGCCCUCGGGUUGUAAACUGCUUUUGUACGGAACGAAAAGGUUUGUCUUAAUACGAUGAGCUCAUGACGGUACGUAAGAAUAAG
rnacentral:rRNA from 1 species